CCAGCCUGGGCGACAGGCUCCUGAAUUGCCUGCUAGAAUCGCCUAUAGGAAGACAUGACAUUAUGGGGAAUGCGUUAAGUAGCUCCCAACAUGGUCAUGUGCUCACACUAGGACUAAGAUACUGUUAUUAAAUAAAUCAUGGAAAAAUGAACUUAGAAAGGGAUAUGAAGGAUUAGCCAGUAAGUCUCUAUAAAACAUAAGGGAAUUAUAUCCAUAUUACCUUGUAUAUAAAAUGCCUUAUU
rnacentral:lncRNA from 10 species